GUUAACAAUCCCUGAAUCCUUCAUGGAAGGGACACACAUCCCUCCAUAACACCUGCCUCCUCAAUCCCCCUUAUCCUGUAGCACUCCAGAGCAGCAUUAAUACUAUUUUAAAAAGCAAAAUUCUAAAAUGGGGAAAGCUUCUACAAGCACCUUGGUCAGUUCCAGGUGUAGAAGUUACAUAGUAGAUCAGAACCAUAACUUUUAACUUUAACAAGCAGUAGGAAAACAAGCACUUACAUUGUAUAAAGUAACAACACAACACUAGCAUACUUGAAAGGUUUAUACCACGCUACUAACAAAUCGCAACACAGACUUACCUGGAGCACUGAGGAAUAACACAACUUGAAGCAGUUUUUCUUAUUAAAAAACAAAACAAAACAAACAAAAAAACCCAAACCAAACCAAAACAAAAAAACACAGAAUUUUCUUCAACACAACACCACUAGCAUUGUGUUAUCUCAAUACCAGCAAGGCACAGCAGGCCUCUCUGGUAAGUGUGAGGUAAAACUACUUCCCUCUUUUUCCACUGUUCAAAAGAGCUUAACAAAGUCUGAAGAAAAGCCCUUGAUUGUCCUUAUUUUGUAAGGGGGAAUGUGCCCUGCCAUUGUGUUAUCUCGCUAUGCUCUGCUGUGGAAGCUUCCAGAAGGCACUGAGCAGGGCAGGGCUGGGCUGCUAGGCCGAGGUGAAAUGGUGGUAUUUCCGCAGCCUGCACAAGCUGGGAGGAGCACUUCAGCCUGUGACACCACAGGAAAGCACACUGUGAAGGAGAAUACUGCCUUCCCUUACUGCUUUGUUGCUGCUAAUGCCAACCCAGUGUACCUCAUGAAACCCUAUGGUGUCCCCUGGAUUCUCAGUGACUCCAAGGUGUUGCUUAUAAGGUAAGACGGCAGUCAGUAUGAGGUACCAGACCAAGUACUACAUAUAGUCAGUGUACACUAAAAAUAGACAUAAUCAACAACUUAGAUAUUUUUAGUCUAGUUACAAUAAUACUAACUGGAUUCCUAAACUAUAAACAUCAAUUCCCCAUAAUACUAUACUUAACACUCAUACAUGCAAACUUUCUAGCAUCCACCCCUUUCUUGGGCAUUAUGCUAACCCCUUUGGUAUCCUUCUGGGUGCUAAGGUCGGCG
rnacentral:lncRNA from 1 species